rnacentral:lncRNA from 1 species
AUGACUGCAUCUCUGAAUGAUUUUAGGGUUAGUAUUGAAGUUAACCCUAAGGAGGAAUGCCAAACCACUAUCUCUGAAAGUGAUAAGGUUGUUGAUGAGAAAAAAAUAGAGAUAGAGAAGGAAAAGAUAAAGAGAGAUGGAGAGGAAGAAGAAACAAAAAAGUUGAGUGAGGGGGAUAAAGAUGAUGAUAAGGAAAAGGCAGUGGUUGAGAGAAAAGAAAAAUGAGAAAAAUGGUGAAAAUAAAGAAGAAAGCAAGAAAAAAUAAAAAGAGAAAGUUGAGAGAAAAAAAGAGAGAGAAAAAAAGGAAGAGAGGAAAGAAGAAAAGAUCAUAUGAAAAGCUCCCUCCUUAUCAAAAGAAAUAUCGUAGGAAAGGAAAGAAAUUUAUGUGCUCUAUGGAGAUCUUCAA